ensembl:lncRNA
UUUAUGCAAUCAGGGCUUGUCCUAAUUGCAUCUUCAUUGUUUUUGUGGCACUUCUAGGUGGCAGAGGAGAUUCAGUCUGUUGUAAAGCUGCUACUCCCUCUGACAGACUUAGAGUCAACAGAAGCUGAUCAGCCAUCCCGGGCUAACCCUUUAGAUAAGACACUGCUUCAACUGCAGAAAGUGGCCCGGAGUCUCGCCAUUAACACCUCUCAGGGAAAUAAAUCUGGGGAAGAUGCUGCCAUUUUACAGCAAGCUC